CGCUAUCACUCCUACGGGAGGCAGCAGUGGGGAAUCUUAGACAAUGGGCGCAAGCCUGAUCUAGCCAUGCCGCGUGAGUGAUGAAGGCCUUAGGGUCGUAAAGCUCUUUCGCCAGGGAUGAUAAUGACAGUACCUGGUAAAGAAACCCCGGCUAACUCCGUGCCAGCAGCCGCGGUAAUACGGAGGGGUUAGCGUUGUUCGGAAUUACUGGGCGUAAAGCGCGCGUAGGCGGAUUAGUCAGUUAGAGGUGAAAUCCCAGGGCUCAACCCUGGAACUGCCUUUAAUACUGCUAGUCUUGAGUUCGAGAGAGGUGAGUGGAAUUCCGAGUGUAGAGGUGAAAAUUCGUAGAUAUUCGGAGGAACACCAGUGGCGAAGGCGGCUCACUGGCUCGAUACUGACGCUGAGGUGCGAAAGUGUGGGGAGCAAACAGGAUUAGAUACCCCUGGUAG
rnacentral:rRNA from 1 species